rnacentral:rRNA from 1 species
AUUGAACGCUGGCGGCAUGCUUUACACAUGCAAGUCGAGCGGCAGCGCGGGGGCAACCCUGGCGGCGAGCGGCGAACGGGUGAGGAAUACAUCGGAACGUGCCCCGGAGUGGGGGAUAACGCCGCGAAAGCGGCGCUAAUACCGCAUAUGCUCUGAGGAGGAAAGCGGGGGACCUGUGAGGGCCUCGCGCUCUGGGAGCGGCCGAUGUCCGAUUAGCUAGUUGGGGGGGUAAAGGCCCACCAAGGCGACGAUCGGUAGCUGGUCUGAGAGGAUGAUCAGCCACACUGGGACUGAGACACGGCCCAGACUCCGACGGGAGGCAGCAGUGGGGAAUUUUGGACAAUGGGGGCAACCCUGAUCCAGCCAUGCCGCGUGAGUGAAGAAGGCCUUCGGGUUGUAAAGCUCUUUCGGCCGGGAAGAAAUCGUAUCAGCUAAUACCUGGUGCGGAUGACGGUACCGGCAUAAGAAGCACCGGCUAACUACGUGCCAGCCGCCGCGGUAAGAC